GUUUCCGUAGGUGAACCUGCGGAAGGAUCAUUAAUGAGUUGUCAUGGGGUUCGAUGCUGGCAGCCAGUUUUUGGAUGCAUGUGCUUGCCCUAACAAUCAUCUUCUUCCAAACACCUGUGCACAUUUUUGAGGGAGUCUUGAGUUGGUUGCCGCUCUUGGGUGAUUUUCUCACAUUCCCUUAAAUCAUUAUACGCUGUUAACAAUGUUGAACGUGCUCUGUGCCGCAAGGCCAUUAAUAUAAUACAACUUUUAACAACGGAUCUCUUGGCUCUC
rnacentral:misc_RNA from 1 species